rnacentral:rRNA from 1 species
AACGUAGGAGACAAACGUUAUCCGGAGUUACUGGGCGUAAAGGGCGUGUAGGUGGUUUUGUAAGUCUGGCGUGAAAUUUCUCGGCUUAACCGAGGCAGGUCGUCGGAUACUAUAAGACUAGAGGACGGUAGAGGCGUGUGGAAUUCCGGGUGUAGUGGUGAAAUGCGUAGAGAUCCGGAGGAACACCAGUGGCGAAGGCGGCUCGCUGGACAGUUACUGACACUCAACUACGAAAGCGUGGGGAGCAAACAGG